rnacentral:rRNA from 1 species
UACGUAGGGUGCGAGCGUUGUCCGGAAUUAUUGGGCGUAAAGGGCUCGUAGGCGGUUUGUCGCGUCGGGAGUGAAAACCUUGGGCUUAACUCAGGGCUUGCUUUCGAUACGGGCAGACUAGAGGUAUGCAGGGGGAGAACGGAAUUCCUGGUGUAGCGGUGAAAUGCGCAGAUAUCAGAAGGAACACCGGUGGCGAAGGCGGUUCUCUGGGCAUGAUCUGACGCUGAGGAGCGAAAGUGUGGGGAGCGAACAGG